AACGAACGCUGGCGGCAGGCCUAACACAUGCAAGUCGAAGGAGAAGCCAUCUUCGGAUGGUGGAAACUGGCGCACGGGUGAGUAACGCGUGGGUAUCUACCUCGGGGUGGGGAAUAACCGCUGGAAACGGCGGCUAAUACCGCAUACGCCUUAAGAGGGAAAGCUCCGGCGCCCUGAGAGGAGCCCGCGUUGGAUUAGCUUGUUGGUGGGUAACGGCCCACCAAGGCGACGAUCUAUAGCUGGUCUGAGAGGAUGAUCAGCCACACUGGGACUGAGACACGGCCCAGACUCCUACGGGAGGCAGCAGUGGGGAAUAUUGCACAAUGGGCGCAAGCCUGAUGCAGCCAUGCCGCGUGAGUGAAGAAGGCCUUAGGGUUGUAAAACUCUUUCACCGGUGAAGAUAAUGACGGUAGCCGGUAAAGAAGCCCCGGCUAACUCCGUG
rnacentral:rRNA from 1 species